GCCAGGCAGCAUCUGCCAGUAAGCUAUAGAGGCCCUGACUGCAGUGAUGGGGAAAAGGCAGUAGCCAGGAGAGAUGCACACCUUUAAAUCCCAGAGGCAGGUAAGUCUCUGAGCUCAAGGUCAGCCUGGUCUACAUAGUUCCCAGAUACACAAGGCUACGGGAAAGAAAAGAAAGAAGAGAAAAAGGCAGAACAAGCGAAGUAUGAAAUGAGAACAGCACCCAGUUUCAGAUCUGGACACACAGGACACCGCGUCUCUUACAGCUGCUUUGAGAGCUGCUUUCACUCAACCCCCAUCCAGCUUUGAAGUGGAAUGGGUGCCAUUCUAGUCACCCAUGGGCUUAAAUCCCAAUGCCACUGCUUGAUGGCUGAGCAGCCCUGGGAAAAAUUGUCACCCUCUGACCUCUGUGUCACCCACCUGUGAAAGGAAAUCUUGCUUGUGUUGUAGGGUUUUUCCAAAAGAUCAGUGAUUUCAUGUUUAUAAGCCUAAACAGCAGUCAGUACCAGCUAAGCACUGGCACACGGAAGUCCUCGUUCAUCGGUCUGGUCCCGCUUCAGUCAGUAUUCCUUAGCCUCAGUUUUGGCUUGCUGGCACCCUCGGUCCUAGUUCCCUUUCUGGCUGUGAUAAAACGCUAACCAGAACCAACCUGGGGAAGAAAGGGUUGAGUUACCCUUCCUAGUCAUAGCCAGUACAGAAGCUCACCACAGGAACUGAGGCAGAAGCCCUGCGAAGAUAAACACUACUUAGCUGGUUUUCACCCAUGGCUUGCUUGCUCGGUUUACUUUCCUAUACAACUCGGGCCCCUCUACCAAGGAUGGCACCACCCACAGUGAGCUGGAUUCUUGAGCAUCCAUCAUGAAUCAAGAAAAUGCCUCACUGACUUGCCCACAGGCCAGUCUGUUGGAGGCUGUUCCUCAACUGAAGGUCCCUCUUCAUAGACAAUUCUGGGUUGUGUUGGAAACACACACACAAACCAACCAGCACAAUAAACCUUGUCAGUUAACACU
rnacentral:lncRNA from 1 species